rnacentral:rRNA from 1 species
UACGAAGGGGGCUAGCGUUGCUCGGAAUCACUGGGCGUAAAGCGCACGUAGGCGGACUCUUAAGUCGGUGGUGAAAUCCUGGAGCUCAACUCCAGAACUGCCUUCGAUACUGGGAGUCUUGAGUCCGGGAGAGGUGAGUGGAACUGCGAGUGUAGAGGUGAAAUUCGUAGAUAUUCGCAAGAACACCAGUGGCGAAGGCGGCUCACUGGCCCGGUACUGACGCUGAGACGCGAAAGCGUGGGGAGCGAACAGG